GAUCCUGGCUCAGGAUGAACGCUAGCGGCAGGUUUAACAUAUGCAAGUCGAGGGGCAGCAUAAUGGAUAGCAAUAUCUAUGGUGGCGACCGGCGCACGGGUGCGUAACGCGUAUGCAACCUACCUUUAACAGGGGGAUAACACUGAGAAAUUGGUACUAAUACCCCAUAAUAUCAUAGAAGGCAUCUUUUAUGGUUGAAAAUUCCGAUGGUUAGAGAUGGGCAUGCGUUGUAUUAG
rnacentral:rRNA from 1 species